rnacentral:rRNA from 1 species
GACGAACGCUGGCGGCGUGCCUAAUACAUGCAAGUAGAACGCUGAAGGAGGAGCUUGCUUCUCUGGAUGAGUUGCGAACGGGUGAGUAACGCGUAGGUAACCUGCCUGGUAGCGGGGGAUAACUAUUGGAAACGAUAGCUAAUACCGCAUAAUAUUGACUAUUGCAUGAUAGUCAAUUAAAAGGUGCAAUUGCAUCACUACCAGAUGGACCUGCGUUGUAUUAGCUAGUUGGUGAGGUAACGGCUCACCAAGGCGACGAUACAUAGCCGACCUGAGAGGGUGAUCGGCCACACUGGGACUGAGACACGGCCCAGACUCCUACGGGAGGCAGCAGUAGGGAAUCUUCGGCAAUGGACGGAAGUCUGACCGAGCAACGCCGCGUGAGUGAAGAAGGUUUUCGGAUCGUAAAGCUCUGUUGUAAGAGAAGAACGAGUGUGAGAGUGGAAAGUUCACACNGNGACGG